rnacentral:sRNA from 1 species
UAUUAAAGAACGCCGACUAAACACGACCCUUCCUAGGUCAACGUCGGCAUGACCUGGGUCCUCCAGG